ACACAUGACCCCUUGCCCUUUGACCCCUUCCCCCCGCGUGACCCCUGACCUCCGACCCUCCUUGCCUCCAACCACCUGCUUCACCCUCGCCUCCCGGUGGUAAAAUGAACGCGAGGCGCUUCUCCUGACGUCACGCGAGGGGGCUGAGGCGAUCUCCGACGCAUGCGCGUCACGCUCUUCGCCUUCGGACGGGAGGCGCUCCCGCUUGGGUGCGCGGGGGGGUGGGGGCGGGGAUGCGGUCGUACUUCUGUGCGCUCCUCGCUCUUUUCACCUCGCGCGCCGAGGCUCCUUGAGGGAAGGAAAUGUCUCCCCGCCUCAUGCCGGAGAAGCCUGCAGCAUCUUUCCUUCUGCAAAAGGGCAGGAAGCCGCAGCCUUUGGCAUCCAAGAGGACCUGACUUUGCAAAGGGGCGGACAGAAGACAUGACCAGAGAGAGGCUCCUGGCAGAGAAGAACUAGCAUUAAAUCAUGGCCUAAUGCCUGCCUGGAACUGUCCCCGAUGUAUCAUGCAAAGGAAAAAAUUAAUGCAAAGCUCAUCUCGGGCCAAGAACAUCGACUCUGCUUGGGUUGCAGCCUCAAGCUGGAAAAUGGAGGGGGCCCCGCAGCUGGAAAGCAAGCCUCGCAGGGAGCUGCUUCCGUCCAAUUCCUGACCUGCUGGUUUGCUAUAUGCAAGGAUUUUUUAAAAAUAGUCUCAAAAAUGGACAGGAAGAACACCUGGGCCGGUGACAGAAACCCCCGGAACAGAGCUAUUUCAACAUAUUAGAUUAACAGAGUUGGAAGGGACCUUGUAGGUCAUCUAGUCCAACCUCCCGCCCAAGCAGGAGACCCUACCUACACCAUUUCUAAUAAAUGGCGGUCUCCUUUACAGCUUGGGUCCUGCAGUUGGAAAGCAAUCUCUCAGGGCGCUACCUUCUCCCAAUUCCUGACCUUCUGGUUUUCUACCUGCAAGGAUUUUUUAAAAACAAUCUCAAAAAAUGGACAGGAAAAUCACCUGGGCUGGUGACAGAAACCUCUUGGAACUGGGGCAAGUCUCCUUUUUACAGCUUGGGCCCUGCAGCUGAAAAGCAAGCCUCUCAGGGAGCUGCCUCGGCCCAAUUCCUAACGUGCUGGUUUUCUACAUGGAAGGAUUUUUAAAAAGUCGCAAAAAUGGACAGGAAAAACACCUAAUGAUAGAAACACUUCCCAACAGGAGGAAGUCUCCUUUACCACUUUACAUCUCUACUGGGCAUGCCAGCCAGGGAAUUCUGGGAGUUGAAGUCUGCCCAUCUUAAAAUUGCUGAAACAUUGGUUUAAAUGGAGCAAAGCUCCCCUUUUCAGAAACUAAUAAAUGCAACAAAUGCGCUGUCACUCAUUUGGUUUCACCCUAUUCAUUUCCCUCCCCUGAACCAACAAAUGUUAUUUUCUACUGAAAUAACUUUUUUAAGGGAUAUUGUGUUCCAAAGUAUCCUGAAACCACACAACCAACUCUUGUCAGGAAUAUUUUUUUUUGCCCUUUGGGCUCAAAACAGCAGGCAGUAAAUGCCGCAGUUUUGUGAUGUGACGGAAGGAUGGGAAAACAUUUCCAUUCCCGUUCAAAUUGGAAGCGUGUUUUUGGAUUGCAAGGAAUAAAAAGCAAAAUGAAAAAAGUCCCUCAGUUAUUUGUCAGUUGUCUUUCAAAGUCUUUUUUCCCCAUCUGGAAAUGUUUGCAAAGCCCAGAAAGUAAGAAUGACUGGUUUUGCCAUGUCCAAUUUCUCUCUAUCGUCUUGGCAACCUUAAGUAUUUUUGGCCUAAACCCCAAGGGCAGGAAACAUGCAGAGCAAUGAAUCAUCUCCAACCCACAGCCAGAAAAUCUGUCCUCCCCUCUUUCAAAAGCCUGC
rnacentral:lncRNA from 1 species